rnacentral:misc_RNA from 1 species
GAUCAACCAUACAAGCAUAAUGCUCCACUCUAGCUUUAAUCCUAUGAUCACUACACAACCUAGAGAAGUAUUCUUGACCUUCUUCAAUUAGUCCAGAAUGGCUACAUGCUAAAAGUACAGCCAAGUAAGUAACAUCAUCAGGCUCAAUAUUAUUGGAUUUCAUUUUGUUGAUGAGAAAAACAGCCUCUUUACCAAGACCAUGCUUCCCAUAGCCAUUGAUCAUAAUUGUCCAAGAAAACACAUCUCUCAUUGCCAUUUCUGCGAAAAAUCUCUCGGCCUCACCCAUCAUUCCACACUUGAGAUACAUAUCCACGAUUGAAUUGCAUACUGAUAUUUCUAAACCUGACGGGACUUUGAUGGUAUAAGCAUGCAUUUGCUUGCCUUGCUCCACAAGUGCAAAAUCAGCAAACACACCUAUCAUGCUUGACAGAGCAAACCCAUCUGGUUGGAUGUCGCUCCCUCUAAGCUGCUUAAACAAGUCCAUCGCUUCAGCUAGGUUACCUUCUUGAGCAUUGCCAAGAAUUAGUGCACUCCAUGAUAUCACAUGCUUCUGUUCAAUCUGACCAAACACUCUCCGAGCUUCACAUAACUUCCCACAUUUCACAUAAUGAUCAAUAAGAGCACCAGCAAUACUAGUUGUAAUCAGAUAUGGAAAACCACUAGUGGCCAAGAAAGCAUGAAUUUGGGAUCCUUCCUUUAUUGCACCAAGACCACUACAAGCCUUCAAUAUGCUUGUAAAUGUGAACUCAUCUGGGGCUUGCUCAUUUUCUAGCAUUUUUUGAAACAAAACUACAGCUUUCUUACCCAAUCCUGCAAUAUUGUACCCUGCUAUCAUUGAAUUCCAACUUACAAGAUUUCUAACUGGCAUAACAUCAAACAUGCGGGCAGCUUCAUUAAUCCUUCCACACUUUGAGUACAUAUUAACUAUAGAAUUGCCCACUACAAUCACCAUGUCAAAUCCAGUUUUCACACAAGUAUCAUGAAUCUGCAUCCCAGUAUCAGAAAGAUUCAACAUACUACACGCUUUAAGAUUCAUCGAAAAAGUGAACUGAUUCGGUUUUACAUCAGAUAAUCCCAUUUGAGAUAGUAGAAAUAAUGACUCUUCGGCAUUGUCAUUCUGUAUGUGCCCACACAUAAGAGCUGUCCAAGAAACCACAUUUCUUUCAAGCAUUCUAUCAAACACAGCACAAGCAGCAUUCACUCUACCACAUUUCCCAUACAUAUCUAUAAGAUCAUUGUUCAACAUCAAAUCAAAUCCAAGCCCUCCUUUUACUACGGCUCCAUGCACUUGCAGUCCUUGAUUAAGUAACCAUUUUUUCGAACAGCAUCGCAACAGUUCUGCAAGUCUUUGCCUCUCACUCAAAACUGAGAACGAAAACUUCUUCAUAGUUUAUCAGAGACCAAAAUUCUCAACGUCACGGUCAAUAAUGGCAAAGGAAUUGGAGCCUUGAAAUCAAAGAACUGGAAAAUCUCUUUGUACCCAUUUUGCGAAAUUGCAAGAACAUAGAAGAACUGAAGAGAAACCAUGCUCUCAUUAUCAAGUACUCACUGUCACAGAGCAGCUUCCUGGUGAAAAAAAAUUGUUGAUGCGUGUGAUAGUAGCGAGGAUAUGAAUUAUCCAGGCUUGAUUUUGAAGCAAGUCGUAGAAUCAAAUACCUUUUUGUACAAUGCAGUGAUACAACCCUCUACACCGGCCUAGAGAUGAUGGCUCUUUGUAAGCAAAUGCUAAAGCAAAAUUCCCAACGAAGUGAAAACCCCAUUUUGCCGACGAAUUCACGUUCCCAUCUGUGGUAGAAUCCUGUGCAAGGCUUGUGCUCCAUAAUCAAGGUAAGCAAGUCCAUGCCCAUUUCUUAAAAUUUGGGCCAGAGUUCCAUCACAGAGAAUGCGAUGAUUGAU